AAAAAUUAAAAAAUUACCUUUUUAAUAUUGAAUCCAUCUUCUUGAAGAUCCUUUUUCUUCAACUUAAACGUGCCUAUCAUGGGUAAUUCUGAUAAAACCCGAACGAAAAGAGGUCUAGCGUACGAUGGCAAAGAUUUUUUUAAACCUUCUGCCAUUUCUUUGAUGUUCAGAGUGUUUUCUGGAUCGUAAACGGCAGCCAUUCCAGCUUUUCCUUCGGUUCCAGGUACCUGUUAAUCACACAACAUUCUAAAUCUACUCUGAGUAAAAAACGAUCAAUUUUUAUCGGCAAUUACCUCGACUCCAUAUACAGCUGCGUCCUUUAAACCUAUCAAGUUGCUGACAACAGCCUCUACCUCAGAAGUGGCGACAUUUUCACCGUGCCACCUAAACGUGUCAUUGUAGGAACUGAACCCAACCAUCUUAAUGUUAAAGGCUGUCUUAAAUACUGUGAA